CCUACGGGAGGCAGCAGUGGGGAAUAUUGGACAAUGGGCGAAAGCCUGAUCCAGCAAUGCCGCGUGAGUGAUGAAGGCCUUCGGGUCGUAAAGCUCUUUUACCAGGGAUGAUAAUGACAGUACCUGGAGAAUAAGCUCCGGCUAACUCCGUGCCAGCAGCCGCGGUAAUACGGAGGGAGCUAGCGUUGUUCGGAAUUACUGGGCGUAAAGAGUACGUAGGCGGUUAUUCAAGUCAGAGGUGAAAGCCCGGGGCUCAACCCCGGAACUGCCUUUGAAACUAGAUAACUAGAGUCUUGGAGAGGUUAGUGGAAUUCCGAGUGUAGAGGUGAAAUUCGUAGAUAUUCGGAAGAACACCAGUGGCGAAGGCGACUAACUGGACAAGUACUGACGCUGAGGUACGAAAGCGUGGGGAGCAAACAGGAUUAGAUACCCUGGUAGUCCACGCCGUAAACGAUGAUAACUAGUUGUUCGGUCACUUGGUGACUGAGUGACGCAGCUAACGCAUUAAGUUAUCCGCCUGGGGAGUACGGUCGCAAGAUUAAAACCNCAAAUGAAUUGACGGNUGAGACGNGCGACGACGACGACGAGGAGAG
rnacentral:rRNA from 1 species